GACGAACGCUGGCGGCGUGCUUAACACAUGCAAGUCGAGCGGAGCGGCGAACGGGUGAGUAACGCGUGAGUAACUGCCCCCCUCUCUGGGAUAACAGUUGGACACGGCUGCUAAUACAGGUUAGUGGGGGAUGACUCGCGUCCUAUCAGUUUGUUGGUGGGGUAGUGGCCUAACAAUGCGACGCAGGUUAGCCGGCCUGAGAGGGCGACCGGCCACAUCGGUCUGGGAUACCGCCCAAACUCCCACGGGAGGCAGCAGUGGGGAAGAGUGCACGAUGGGGGAAACCCUGAUGCAGCAACGCCGCGUGCGGGAUGACGGCCGUCGGGUUGUAAACCGCUUUCAGCCAUGACGCGGUAGUGGCAGAAGAAGCACCGGCUAACUACGUGCCAGCAGCCGCGGUAAUAC
rnacentral:rRNA from 1 species